AUUUCUGAAUUAUUGGGGUUGAUUUAGUUUCCAACCGAUUCGAACUAGCUAAGAAGUUUGGGGUUAAUGAAUUUGUGAACCCAAAAGAUCAUAACAAACCUAUAUAAGAGAUAAUUGAUGAAAUGACCAAUGGAGGAGUGGAUCGUUCUGUUGAAUGUACUGGCAGCAUCUAAGCUGUGAUCUCAGCAUUUCUAGUUCUGUUCUAAUCCCGCCACUUUCAUUCCCUGGAUUCCAUUCGCAAGGUUGGCGCCAUUCUUUCUCUUUCUUUCUUUUUCUUUCAUUUCAUCUGUUUGUUGUUGUUGUUGUUGUUGUUGUUUUCUAAAGUGAUUUUCAAUUUUUGAUAUACUUGCUGCUUUGGUUCCGAA